GCGAGAAUGGCGGAAUGGGCAGACGCGCCAGACUUAGGAUCUGGUACCGAAAGGUGUGGGGGUUCGAAUCCCCCUUCUCGCA
rnacentral:tRNA from 1 species